rnacentral:rRNA from 1 species
AUUGAACGCUGGCGGCAUGCCUUACACAUGCAAGUCGAACGGCAGCGCGGGGCAACCUGGCGGCGAGUGGCGAACGGGUGAGUAAUAUAUCGGAACAUACCCUAGAGUGGGGGAUAACGUAGCGAAGUUACGCUAAUACCGCAUACGCACUAAGGUGGAAAGUGGGGGAUCUUCGGACCUCAUGCUCAUGGAGUGGCCGAUAUCUGAUUAGCUAGUUGGUGAGGUAAAGGCUCACCAAGGCGACGAUCAGUAGCUGGUUUGAGAGAACGACCAGCCACACUGGAACUGAGACACGGUCCAGACUCCUACGGAGGCAGCAGUGGGGAAUUUUGGACAAUGGGGGCAACCCUGAUCCAGCAAUGCCGCGUGAGUGAAGAAGGCC